rnacentral:lncRNA from 1 species
AUCUCUGAAAUGCUCUCAAUCUUCGAGUGCCUCCCAAUCUUUGAAUGCUUCCGAAUGAAUGAAAAUGGCUUGGAGGAGCCCCUUAUUUAUAAUGCUACGUGGGAGACUUUGAUGAGAACGUAGUCUUUGUAAAUUAUCUCUAAAUUAUCUUAAUUUAUUCAGAGAUAAAUUAUGAUGACUCAUUGAAAGUCUUUUGAUUG